rnacentral:rRNA from 1 species
AGCGAACGCUGGCGGCAGGCUUAACACAUGAAAGUCGAGCGGGCACUUUCGGGUGUCAGCGGCGGACGGGAGAGUAACGCGUGGGAACGUGCCCUCUGGUUCGGAAUAACGCAGGGAAACUUGAGCUAAUACCGGAUACGCCCGUUUGGGGAAAGGCUUGCUGCCGGAGGAUCGGCCCGCGUCUGAUUAGCUAGUUGGUGAGGUAACGGCUCACCAAGGCGACGAUCAGUAGCUAGUCUGAGAGGAUGAUCAGCCACACUGGGACUGAGACACGGCCCAGACUCCUACGGGACGCAGCAGUGGGGAAUAUUGGGCAAUGGGCGCAAGCCUGAUCCAGCCAUGCCGCGUGAGUGAUGAAGGCCUUAGGGUUGUCAAGCUCUUUUAUCCGGGACGAUAUUGACGGUACCGGAGGAAUAAGCCCCGGCUAACUUCGUG